UCUUCUACAUGUAGGUCUCAGAAGGUCAUAUAGCUUUGACCUUGUUUGCAGGAGUACUUUCUCCUGGAGCCAGCAUGUAAAACAUCUGCCUACCCUGUAGCUACCAUGCAUGGCUCCCAGCUGUUCCUGAGUAAGAAAACUGCUUAGCAGCUGGGACAAGGGCAACUUGUGUUAUGUGGUGGUGGAACAAUUGGCAAAAAUAUGAUAGAAAAUAUGCCUGUUAUGGUUUGGAUAUGUUUGAGUGAGUCUCCUGAAAGUUUGUGUGCUAGAUGCUUGGUACCCAGCAUAUCAAGAUUUCGAGGUGGCAGGACUUUUAAGAGGUGAGGACUAGUGGAGCAUAAUUAGUCAAAGGGGUUCCACCCUCAUGAAUGGUUAGUGGGUCAGGUUUCCUGGGACUGGGUUAGUCGUAACUCACCAUUGCUUCCUCUCUCACCACAUGAUCUCUCUCCUCUGCACUUCUGUCAUGUGAUGCCAUCUACCACAUUGUGACACAGCCACAAGACCCUCACCAGAUAUACUGGUGAUAUACUGGUAUACUGACCAGAUACCAUCACUAAUCUUGGAUCUGCAGCCUCCAAAAACUCUCCUAUUGGAUGCAGCCUACUCUUGCUUCAUCGUUGAACACCAGUCACAUGGGGCAGAUAACUUGUUCAGGGGUUUUUGAGUCAAGAGGAGGCACAUCUGAGGAGUGUUCCCAAGAGGACUCAGCCACGUCCAGACCAGCUUCACAUUAUGAACUCCUGGACUUGGAGCCCGAUGGCAUAAUGGCAAUCCUGGGAGUCGUCAGUCCAGGCUCUCCGGAAAGUUCAGGGGACAUUGUGGGCCACAGAGAAUGUCCUCUAUCUGGCCAAUAGCUGCGUUUUGGAGAAGAUUCCAGCGUUCAUAGCAGCUGCAAGUGCUGGGGUGCUGCUGCCAGCCCUUCCCUCCAUUCAUUCCAUUAAGCAAUUAACUGAAUGAAAAGGUUGGAAGAACUUCAUUCCACUGCGGUGGCAGCUUUCCUCUGGCAGGGAAGGCUCAGCAUUCUGCUCACAGAUGCUGCUGGCUUCUUGGGCCACCUCCGGGGAGGGGAGGUCUGCAGGAUGGGCCCAGGGUUCCAGCCCAGCAGGGCACCCUCACAGCUGCUGCAUUAUCUCUCUUCCAUGUGUGUUCUCAGGUCUGGGAGACCCAAAGCCAGGCUCCUGCAGCGGGCGUGGCUCCAGGCCUGGCUUCAUCAGAGCUCCCUAUCCACAGCACCCGUGUGAGUGCCAUGCAGCCAUGUCUGGCUGGUAGCUCUUAGUAAUCAGAGCUUCCCAAGUAGGGUGACAGGAAAGGGCUCCUGGCACACCUAGGUAUUGGUCACCCACCUUGGUGGAGCCGGAGCUGUGUGAGCUUCGAGACCUUUUACCUCCAGCCUUUGUCUGUUUACUCCACGAUGACCUGAAGUGUGGUCUAUGCAUGUCCUGAUACCAAAAAAUAAA